rnacentral:rRNA from 1 species
UACGUAGGGGGCAAGCGUUGUCCGGAUUUAUUGGGCGUAAAGAGCGUGUAGGCGGUCAGGUAGGUCCGUUGUGAAAACUCGAGGCUCAACCUCGAGACGCCGAUGGAAACCAUCUGACUAGAGUCCGGAAGAGGAGAGUGGAAUUCCUGGUGUAGCGGUGAAAUGCGCAGAUAUCAGGAAGAACACCCGUGGCUAAGGCGGCUCUCUAGUACGGUACUGACGCUGAGACGCGAAAGCCAGGGGAGCAAACGGGG